rnacentral:lncRNA from 1 species
AGGCCUUAGGUGUGCAUCCCAGGAGCAUGCUCCAAGUGCACUGUGCUCAAAGGGCUCCAGUUGUCCAGUGAAGGAAGCACCAGGAUCCUGUGUCCUCUCUUUGCCCCAGUCUUCAAUGUCCCAGAUACUCCCAGGAGUCUACUCAUCUUGGUGGCCCUAAUUUGGUAUCCCUCGUGUCCUGCUGGCUGGCAGUAACAGAAAAGCCUGGCCUUUGAAUAUGACCCUGUCUGCUCUUCACCUGCUGCCUGGAACAUUUCUUGACUUCUGCUUCUCCAGACAUCUCAUUUUGUAAAGGAGCAACGAUGGUCUCAGUUGCUAAAGCUGUUGAAAUUCCACAGAAUACAGCAAUGAAGAAGUGGGCGAUACCGGCCCUUUCCUUCCAUCUUCCAAGAUGUCCUCUGCUCUCCUGUUCAACCUCUCUGCUGGCACGCUUCCCUUAGUUUGUAAACCCUUUCCCAUAUUAAGAAAAAGACUUGGUUUUGCUCUGUCCUUUGCUCUUCCUCUUCCCUGUACAGUGAGGCUUUCCACGACAGCUGACCAUAGGCCAUGUUUACAAUCCUCACAUGCCAUAAACCUGCUGGCAUGUGGCUUCCUGCCAAGUCUUCAUUUCAAAAUGCCUUCUAUAAAGGUCACUUCUUGACACCUUUCCUUUAGCAAUGCACAGGUUGACAUAGUA